rnacentral:rRNA from 1 species
GUGCCAGCAGCCGCGGUAAUACAGAGGGGGCAAGCGUUAUUCGGAAUUAUUGGGCGUAAAGGGCGCGUAGGCGGCCCUUCAAGUGGUAGGUGAAAUCCCUCGGCUCAACCGAGGAGCUGCCCGCCAAACUGAAGAGCUUGAGUCCGGGAGAGGUGAGUGGAAUUCCCAGUGUAGCGGUGAAAUGCGUAGAUAUUGGGAGGAACACCAGUGGCGAAGGCGGCUCACUGGACCGGAACUGACGCUGAGGCGCGAAAGCGUGGGGAGCAAACGGGAUUAGAUACCCCCGUAGUCC